ACUUGUCAUCAGCUAUUGCUCUCAAUAGAGAAAGCUAGGUCACAGCAGCUCUACAAAAGAUCAAGGCAGGUGUUUUGUUUAGUCCCUUGGAGAGAUGCUGAUUUGGGAAAGAGAGAAUGAGGGCUUUCUUGAAGAUGGUCUGUUACUACAUUUAAUAUGAAAUUUAUAUCCUAGCUUUCACAGAUGAUCCAGGGCACUGGGGCAGAGAUUUAAAAAAAAAAAAAAAAGAAUGCUAUGUUCCUUUAUUUGGUGUGGGAGGAGGAUGAAGGUAAUCUUUGUACUUUCCAUCCUGCAUCCCAACUUAUUCGGGCACUAUUGCCUAGUGGCUGGCAUGCUAUCCCACCCAUCUCCCCACUUCUUCUAGGCAGGAGGUCCUUCUUUGACCACUCUGUAUGUUGCCCUGCCCAUAGUCCCUCCUUAUCACAUCCCCCUGUUUCCCUUCCUUUGUAGCAUUAUCAUCCAGAAUCAUCUCACUUUUGGUUAUUUCUUUAUCUGUUCUCCACUUCUAGAAAGUAAACGGCAUGAUGACGAGGAACCUGAUCUCACUCUGUAGUUAUCACCUUAUCAUCUACCCAUGGUGCCUGGAAGACAUAACCUUGGAAGCCACAUGUUGAGAUGGUGGAAGUAGAACAUGCAAGGAGCCUGGGUCUCUAACUGCAAGAUGGAGGCAAGAUCCCAUCAACCUUCAUCAGAUUUUGCAGGAGCCAGAAAUAAAUCUUCAUUGUGCUAAA